AAUUAUGGCCAAAUCCAAGUUCUAGAGUUUUCACUAGAAAUAUCAUCAUCUCCACCUCCUUAAAAGGUUUUAGAAAUUUUCUAGUAUCAUCUUCCACCUUCUUAAACAUAAAAAUCUAGAUACUCUU
rnacentral:sRNA from 1 species